CAGGCACCGUUCAGGCCUCAGACUAUUGUUAUCCUGACAAAGCCCAUGAACAGCAGCCACAUCGGAAUGUCUAGUUCUUGUCACCUGGGAAGCAGAAUGGUCUCUGUUUCAGGGUUGUUGGGGACGGAGAGGCUUAAAGAGGUCCAGCCUAAGGUAGAGUGGCUCGGAAGCUGUAGUUUGUCAACGCUGGAGACCACAAAGAGCCUUCUGGUCAGAAGGUAGGCGUGUCCAGCAAGAAGGACAAAAUCUGUCUCAUCACUGGGCUGGUGUCGCCCUGGAGUCGGGGCGGACAGCAAAGAGCUGAGAGUGACUGACACACUGCCAAUGGCUUAGAGGACAGGAGCGCUUCAGGGACUCCUGACUCACUGAUGCAUGGGCCUUGGAUUCACGAUUGCUCAGCUCUGGUCUCUCCCAUCAGAUCCUCCCUCCCUGCCCACAGGCACGGGAACUGGUUUGGUCAACCCUGGCAGUUAUUCCAUCCUGAGAGCUGUGUCAGACUCUACUCCAGGAGAUGCAGAUUGUCCUCCAGGCCACAGACACAGGACUGUGACAGUCAGGGGGAGGCAAGACCUGUUAUCUUGUUUGUCGUUAACAGCCAGGUAUCAUACCCAUCUCACAGAUGGACAAAUGAAGACAAAGAAAGAACAUCAGUAUACUCCGGCUCAUUAGACUCAAGGUGUAACAUCCUUGCGCUGUCUUCUUGCCAACAGCUUGGAUCUCUCCUGGGAGCAGCCGACGGGACCUCAGAGUGAAGUGUCUGGCAGUGUGGCGGCCAGGGGGAGGUGGGGUAUGUCAAGUCUGAACCUGACUCCUGCACCUGCAGGAUAAGCACAGAGCUGCCCAGCUGCCUCUUGCCCCGCUGCUGUGAGCACACCUCCUGCAGUCCUGCGAGCCCCGGAGUUUAUUCAGGGUCGUCCUGAAGGCUGGAAGGUUUUAAUCAGAUGUGUCUAGCUACCAACAAGAAGAGCACAGUGGGUAACAGUCCUCCGUGGAGGUUCUAGACCCUGAAUCUGGGUCCAGGCAGGUACUGCAGAGGCUGAGAAAAGAGGGCCUUAACCUCCACUGUCCCUGUGUGGGGUGGGGUGGGACAAGACACUCAUCGCCAAGGCAAAUCAUUCCUAUUUCCUGGAAACCAGUUAGGCCUCCCUGUCUUCUGCCUGUGUCUCUCCCCUUAACCCCUUGGGGCCCCCUACUCAGCAUAUGACACCCAACAGGAUCAAGGGCAGAUGGAGAGAGUACAACAGGAGAGGGGAAGUGGAGGACAUUAGCUGUAGCUGGACUUUCAGUCUGUUGUUGUUGUUGUUGUUGUUGUUGUUGUUUGCAGAGAGCUGACAUCCCCUGUGUGCCUGGGACAACACUGGAGCCCAUCGGGCAACUGUCAGCCUCCCUAGAGCCCAACCCGAGAUGGUGGGUCUGCUUUUUUGCACCCAGGGAGCAACCUCCUCCUCUGGCUUUUCCCUGCCACACACCCAGGCUGCAGAACACACAUAUCUUUGUUAAUUUAUGGGAACAAUACAACUCCACAGGGACCACCACUCUAGGCAGCGGCUCUGCCCACACCCAGCUGUUUAUCUCAGAUGUGUGGUGAGAAUAGCAGAACUCCCCACCCUCUCCCAGGCAAGGCACCACCCAGUGCUCACACACACACACACACACACACACACACACACACACACACCCCAUGCAGAUGUGAGCUCGCUGGCUCCUGUGAAAACAAGCACAGGGCCUGGCAUCCAUGGACAGCACAGCUGCAUGUACAGACAUACAGACAUGCAGAAAGCCCGGUGGGAGGGCUCUCUACUGAACCAGAGUCCUGCACCUCCCAGCUCUCCUACCCCUCUGGGGCCUCAAUGGCCCCUUUUCCUUGGCCGUGAACAUCAAAGAUCUUCACAGCUGACAGUCAUCACAGAGGACAGCUGCCUCGACACUGCCCACUCCAGGGCCUUGAGUCCGCUCUGUGGAGAGCCCUGCCCAGCUGUGGCUGGCCUCUGGACCUCUUGGUUGCACAGGCUCUGGCUUUCUCUGAGAGAAGUGCCUGCUCCAGCCAGUCCUUCCUCAUGGUUCCAGUUCCCGGGAGAGGCGGGACAGUUCCCGCUGGUUGUCAAUGACCUUCAGCUGCUGGACAUAAGCCCAGGUGCUGGCUGGACUCCGGGUGCUCAGGGACUGCUCGGAACCUGGAGGGAGGGAGAACCAUCAGAGAGGUAAGGCGCCAUGGCCACUUCACGGUGCCUACCUCUCUCCAGGAAGCAGCCUUAGCUCUCUCUUCUUCCCUACCUCACAUCCUCUCAACGCCAGUUCCCAGACCACUGUCUCUCCCACCACAGAGUCAGGAGGGCAGAGGCUGCAAAGUCCGAAUAAAGAAGACCCCACACCCCACCACAGUCUCAGCAUAGUAGGAACUAAAACAGAUAUGGUGGUGCACAUUUAUAAUCCUGGAGCUUCAGGAGCUGAGGCAGGAGGAUGGAGAGUCCCAGGCCCUGUUUCAAAAAACAAAACAAAACAAAAAAGCAAAAACAUCCAUACAUGUGGUACAUGCCUUUGCUCCCAGCACCCAGGAGGUGGAGGCAUGGGGAUCUUUAUGAGCUUGAAGUUAGCCUGGGCUACAUAAAGAGGUCCAGGCUAGCAAAGCCAAAAAGGGAAAGGAGCAAAAGCUGGAGGGAUAGCUCAGGGUGUAAACUGCAUGUUGUGUUGUGCGGCUGUAACUCCCAUGCUGGUGAGGCAGAAAUGGUCAGAUCACUGGGGCCAGCCUGACAGCCUAGGACGCCUGGUAUGUUCCAGGUCAGUGAGAGCUUGUCUCACAAAGAAGAGAGAGUGGGUGCCCAAGGAAGAACACCCAAGGCUGUUCUUUGACCACUGCACACACACGUGUGAGCCCAUAUGCAUGUGGAUGGCAUCCGUCCUCACACACAUGCACAGGUGCAUACACACAUCGAUGAGAAUAAAACUUGCAAAAAGUUCAUUGUGCAUGCAGGUGUGAGAUAAGGCUUUUUUUUUCUUUUUAUUAUUUUUAAAUGAAAGCACAGGCUAUGGCUCAGGCUUGGAAUCCCAGCCUGGGUCAUGAGGCAAGCCGGUCUCAGAUAAAAAUCAAUCAACCAAUAAGCAAAAUAUAAAAUAAAAACAGGAGUGACUCAAAACUCAUCAUAGUGGCUGCUGCGUGGAGAGAGAGGCAGAGGACAGUGGAGAACCAAGUCGCCAUCUGUGUUUCCUGCCUUGGACUGAGCCAAAGUCUCGGAGGAUUAUCACCAUGGAUGUAUCUAUCUGUGAGCACAGGGCAGGCACUGUGAUCUGAACCAUUGGCUACGACUACUCCUUAACUGCAUGAGCUCCCAUCAGAUAAGUGCAUAGGUUGGAGUUAGCACACGAGCUUCACCUCCAGCACUUCCCCCCUUAGCUUGAGCUAGCGGCCGUAACUUUCCCAGACAGGUGCCAACGAACUCUACGCUUACGUAUUGUACACGUACGUACCGUACGUACGCUUACGUACGGCACGUAAGCGUCCGGCUCUGUCCCAGCUACGCCAACUGUCAGUACCCUGUCCCACCACUUACAUGUGGAGAUUCUUGAUGCCUGGCUGUCCUCGUGGAUGUGGGAAACCCGGCUUCUGAGUGGUGAUAGAGGCGCUGGGCAGAGAGAGAGAGGGAGAGUCAGGGAGACGGCCACGCAGAGCCUCCGCGGGGGUGCUGAGGGGCUCCCGCCCAGGAGACCACCUCUUACCGGUGCUGUGGCUUCGGCAGUGGUGGAGCAUCCGCACGGCUCUGGCCAUCAUUCGCUGAGGACAACACAAGAGUCAAGAGAUCUGGCCUGUCAAGAGUGUCGCCUGCAUAUGGGGAUCUGGGAGUGAAGCUCCCUUUGAACCACGCUGAUAGGGACUAGGGUGUCUAUAAAAGACAGGGUUAUGGCUGCUUCAACCCAGUACAUCCAGACGCUCAAUGGGAGCGAGGCAGUAGCUGGAAGACAGAGGGAAGGCUAAGAGAUAAGAGCUGGAAGGGACUCUUACUGAACAGUGUGAUUUUUUUUUAAAUGAAAUUUAUUUAUUUUA